rnacentral:rRNA from 1 species
GACGUAGGUGGCGAACGUUAUCCGGAAUUAUUGGGCGUAAAGGGUGCGUAGGUGGUCUGACAAGUUAUCAGUGGCAAAUCGAGGCUCAACCUCGUGGAAACUGGUAAUACUGUCCGGCUCGAGUACAGGAGAGGUUAACGGAACUCUAUGUGGAGCGGUAAAAUGCACAGAUAUAUAGAUGAACACCAAUAACGGCGAAGGCAGUUAACUAUUCUGUUACUGACACUGAGGCACGAAAGCGUGGGGAGCAAAACGG